CGCGCGGAUUAUAUUUCGCGCAGUACUAAAAUUUGCACACCCAGCGCUACACGAAUUCUCAAGUACUGCGCGAAUUUAAUUAAUACAUGAACGUAAGAUAUAUUGUCGACAUUUGGCUAAAACUAUCGUAAGGAAUUAGGAGAUUUUGUUUAGCUUGUCCUUGUUUAUAUUCCACUAUAUUGUAUAAAUCGCUUGGUCCAAAUUUUGGGGUUUUCGAGUCGUUUAAUACAAAAAGAAAAACAUUAAUUCAACACGUAAGAAAGUGCAGAGCGCGACA